UGAGCUGCGACCAUGACACAAAGAUGAUCGAGUAGACCCUUGGAAAAUAAGCGAAGCGCAUCGAUGAUGGAAGUCCCUGUGUGGCUCGCAUCGUUUGCGGAACGCUGGCUUUAUUAAGUGAAAGAAUAAUUCACCGUUACGGAGAAUAUUCUUACGACACUGCGACUGUUGUGGGAACCGAAUGAGAACCACCGUAACUACGCAACAAAAGUAGGUCGGUGGAUGUUGAGCUCGGCGAGGAUUUUUCACGAGAGAGGCCAACGGAAUAAAUGGGACGUUGAGAAUCGCUGGAACGGAACGCGUUUUUCAUAACACCCACGUUCGUCUUGGGCUCCCGCGUGUAUACUGAUUUACUAAUGGCUGCGGGACUGUGUUGAACUAUACGGGAUCCGCUGAAUCGUAUACAGCUCCCGUCUUUUUCCCGCAACGUUCUCUGGCGAUCCGGCAUGACCAUCAACACCUAUAAUCACAAGGGAAAAGAAGUCAUUCUGGUUUCCAGCCAAACAACCGUGGCUGGAAAUGUUCACGAACCUGCUGUAUGUCUUUUUCCAUGUUUUCAACACUAUAUGUUUCCAGUCUGAUGCGUUAAUCAGUUGCCAUUACAACAUCGUCGAUGGAGGUAAGAAGCUGGAAACAAGACCAAAUUACCGCUAUACGUCCAAGAUUUUUUUUUAAAUCGUGAAGAGUAUAGUGUGUUUUGAAUAACAAACAAAAUAUCAACACGUCACGGAGUCCUUUCAUUUGGCUUUUUCUUUUUAAGUAUCAUCCAAAAAUGAUAGCAAAAGAUUCACUGCCAAAUAAAGUAUAUUCAUCUGCUCAUUUGAAAAGUCCCGCCAAAUUCUGCAUAUACCGUCUGUUUGAUCCCGUUGCCGAGAUUGGCCCUUAACCGAAAGUCCCGUACAACGUUUGAGAAUUGAGAGACUAUGAAGAGGAACUGGUAUCUCACCGAGUUAAAGCCUUUUUCUUCUCCCAUCAGACAGAAAAGAAAGGUUGAUUCAUUUAAAAUUGCUCGUUUCAGUUAUUUUUUUCCACUACUAACCCCUUCGUUAUGUUGUCGAGCAACGGCUCACAUCAACCAAAUCGACACGCUUUACAUACUUCAUCGUAUUUUGCCAUGCUUUCCAGCAGCGGCUGCAAUUUACGCAUCACCCAAACCCCGUGACCCGGUGAUCGCCAAGUCACGUUUGUUCUUAAAUAAAUGGCACCAUUGAAGCGAGAACAAAAAAGAA